rnacentral:rRNA from 1 species
UACGAAGGGGGCUAGCGUUGCUCGGAAUCACUGGGCGUAAAGCGCACGUAGGCGGAUAUUUAAGUUAGGGGUGAAAUCCCAGGGCUCAACCCUGGAACUGCCUUUAAUACUGGGUAUCUCGAGUCCGAGAGAGGUGAGUGGAAUUCCGAGUGUAGAGGUGAAAUUCGUAGAUAUUCGGAGGAACACCAGUGGCGAAGGCGGCUCACUGGCUCGGUACUGACGCUGAGGUGCGAAAGCGUGGGGAGCAAACAGGG